UAUCUCACAUGCAUCAUGGGUUAAUGCACCGGAUCUCAUUAGAAAUCCGCAGUUAAGCGCGCUCGGGCUAGAGUAGUACUAGGAUGGGUGACCGCCCGAGAAGUCCUAGUAUUUUACAUGC
rnacentral:rRNA from 1 species